rnacentral:rRNA from 1 species
AUUGAACGCUGGCGGCAUGCCUUACACAUGCAAGUCGAACGGCAGCGGGGGAGAAGCUUGCUUUUCCUGCCGGCGAGUGGCGAACGGGUGAGUAAUACAUCGGAACGUGCCCUGUAGUGGGGGAUAACUAGUCGAAAGAUUAGCUAAUACCGCAUACGACCUGAGGGUGAAAGUGGGGGACCGCAAGGCCUCAUGCUAUAGGAGCGGCCGAUGUCUGAUUAGCUAGUUGGUGGGGUAAAGGCCUACCAAGGCGACGAUCAGUAGCUGGUCUGAGAGGACGAUCAGCCACACUGGGACUGAGACACGGCCCAGACUCCUACGGGAGGCAGCAGUGGGGAAUUUUGGACAAUGGGCGAAAGCCUGAUCCAGCAAUGCCGCGUGUGUGAAGAAGGCCUUCGGGCUGUAAAGCACUUUUGUCCGGAAAGAAAUGGCUCUGGUUAAUACCUGGGGUCGAUGACGGUGCCGGAAGAAUAAGGACCGGCUAACUACGUGCCAGCAGCCGCAGUAA